UACGGGGGGGGCAAGCGUUGUUCGGAAUUACUGGGCGUAAAGGGCUCGUAGGUGGCCAACUAAGUCAGACGUGAAAUCCCUCGGCUUAACCGGGGAACUGCGUCUGAUACUGGAUGGCUUGAGUUUGGGAGAGGGACGCGGAAUUCCAGGUGUAGCGGUGAAAUGCGUAGAUAUCUGGAGGAACACCGGUGGCGAAGGCGGCGUCCUGGACCAACACUGACACUGAGGCGCGACAGCGUGGGGAGCAAGCAGG
rnacentral:rRNA from 1 species